rnacentral:lncRNA from 1 species
AAAUGGUCUAUUUAUUUGAGUCAUUGAAAUAUGUUUAAUAUACCAUGUGAAAAUUAUCCUUGAGAAAUCUACAUUAAUGGUGGAGGUUCUUAACUAAAAAAAGAGUAUUAUCUUUGGGUACUAGUCAAACUAACUCCACCCAUGAGAAUAAAUAUUGGGGUUUUCACCGAACGGGAGAAAAUAUUAUAUCUCAGGUUCUUAUGUGUUUAAUAAAAGGAUAAUUAAUUGUAAAAGGAGAUAUUAUAUAUUCUAGAAAUAGGAAGAACGUAAUAUAUGCAUUGAGCUCAUAGAGUAAUUAUAAGGAUAAUGAAAAUCAAUAUCAUAUUUAUUAAUUCAUGAGACUACUUAAACCAGUUAUUCUCCGAGUUUGGUUACAAGCUGGUGGUCAUGAAUUUAACAGACUCCGAUUGACCUGAAACUUGGUGGGUUCAUCAAAAAUGAUCUAAUGAGAAAAACUCAGUGCUAUGCAGUGAAUCAUGUGAAUUUUUGGCAUUUUGAGGUCGUUUAGAUGGGUUUCAAGCAGUUUAUUAAAUUGAAUUUGUUAUAAAUAUGAAAAAUUAUUCUUUAUAUAUAGGCUAUAUUUGUGUUAAAUCUUAAACAUGUGAUUUAACUUGAUAUGAUAUAUAUGAAGAAUGCAAAUCACAUGGGUUUAAUCCUAACUACACCAAAAAUAAUUUAUUCGAAUUUGGUCCAGUUUUGGCGAUCAUAAAUUUUACGAUCUCCAAAUGACCUAAAAUUCUGUAGGAUCUUCGGAAACGGUCAUUUAAGAAGAAGUCACUGCUAUGCAGUGUAUCACAUCGUAUUUUGAUGAUUUGGGAUCGUUUAGAUGAGUUUUUUGGAGGUUUGACGGAUUAAAAUGUGAUUUACAUACGNNNNNNNNNNNNNNNNNNNNNNNNNNNNNNNNNNNNNNNNNNNNNNNNNNNNNNNNNNNNNUUGACGGAUUAAAAUGUGAUUUACAUACGAAAAGUCAUUCUUUCUAUCAUUUUAUUUAUGUCUAAUCUGGAACAUGAUAACACAUGUUUAUUUGAUAUGAAUUGAUAUAAAAAGAAUACAAGUCAUAUUUUAAAUUCUUUAAAAAAUGCUUAAAAUGAUAAUUUUUCAAAUUCGGUCGCAACUUUUAGAGAUCGUGACUUUAACGAUCUCCGAUUGACAUGAAAUUUGGUAGAUUUAUCAGAAAUAGUUCAAUGAACAACAAUCACUGGUAUGCAACGUAAAAUAUUAAUCUUAGUAUUUUAAGACUGUUUAAUUGGGGUAUUGAGCAUUUUUUUUAAAAAAAUUGUGGAACUUAACACUCAGAGAAAAGUUUGUGGUUGUGAUAAAGUGGUGAUAGAAAUUAACCCCUAUGGUCUCCAUAUUUUUAUUUAUAGUGAGAUAAUAAAUUUACACGUUGACAUUAGGUCUUCCUCCAUAUCGGAUAAAUUUAUUAUGAACUCACUGGAUAUAGUUACUAGUUAUUGAUAACCUAUGUUAGCUCUCCAUCUGA